rnacentral:lncRNA from 1 species
UCCGGGUCCCCGGCGAGGGCGGGGCCGUCGCUCUGUGGACCCGGGACUCUCUCAAGGAAAAGCUCCGGUGGGGAGGACACAGCCCAGAGUGUCCUCCGGCUUCACCGUACAGAGGCCAAACCGUGCCGCUUCCCACUUUCUCCAAAACUUAGGGAUGGUGAGGGAAGUUAGAACAGUGGUUUCCGCUGAGGCAUGCGGGCAUGUUCUAUGCGAAGGAGCGCGAGGAAUCCCAGCUCUCUCUUCUAGACCUUGUUCACUGCUGUUGUCCUGGUGUUACUUUCUUCUCGCAUCUUAGGAGGAAGAGGCACAGUAUUAACAAUAUUUCUUAAGACAUAUCUGUUAUCGAUUUUCCAAUCAUCAUUGUGAAAAGAAAACUUGUUGGCCAAUUUCUUUCCACAUCUGAUUAGUUUGUCACUGUUUUGCCUAUCCUUUGUGGAUGGCAUUGACAUGGUUUAAACCCCACUUGGGGACAGUGGUAACCAAAUAGAAUCCCAAACCAGGGAAUUAUUCUUUUCUUUUUCCUGUCUCUGUUUCUUCUUUUUAUUUAUUUCUUACAGAUUUACUCCCUUUGUAUAUAAGUUAGAACAGAGUUGCAACAGAUGCUCAGAUGUGAGUCUCACUACUUUGUCUUUUUAUUUUAAUAUUAGCAUCUCCAAGAUGUAAGCCACAUUCUGUGACCCACCUAUUUCCUGUUCUUUGAAUGGUGGCUUUUGAGAACAGUGCCUAAGGUCAGUACUAGUCCAGGCUUAAUCUUCUAGGUUAAGUCUCCUCCCAGACAUAUUGCAAACCUGAGCCACAAGCUGGAAAAACUUCAAGCAGCCAACCACACCUAUGUGUAAAAAAAUUGUUAGUGUCUACAAAGGUCUGACUAUUUGAGGAAAUAAAAUGUAUUUGACUCGGUCAUUAAUCUCUUAUUGCAAAGUAGAACACAGUGCAAAGAUUAGUUUCUCCGUAAGCAAAGCCAUCUAAUCAGCCCAGUAUGAUUUUCCUAGAACAGCCAAUGCUGACUUUUUCCAAUGAAAUCAG